rnacentral:rRNA from 1 species
CCUACGGGAGGCUGCAGUAGGGAAUCUUCCACAAUGGGCGAAAGCCUGAUGGAGCAACGCCGCGUGAGGGAAGACGGUUUUCGGAUUGUAAACCUCUGUCCUCUGUGAAGAUAAUGACGGUAGCAGAGGAGGAAGCUCCGGCUAACUACGUGCCAGCAGCCGCGGUAAUACGUAGGGAGCGAGCGUUGUCCGGAUUUACUGGGUGUAAAGGGUGCGUAGGCGGCCCUGCAAGUCAGAAGUGAAAUCCAUGGGCUUAACCCGUGAACUGCUUUUGAAACUGCAGGACUUGAGUGGAGUAGAGGUAGGCGGAAUUCCCGGUGUAGCGGUGAAAUGCGUAGAGAUCGGGAGGAACACCAGUGGCGAAGGCGGCCUACUGGGCUUUAACUGACGCUGAAGCACGAAAGCGUGGGUAGCAAACAGGAUUAGAUACCCUUGUAGUC